rnacentral:rRNA from 1 species
UACGUAGGGUGCAAGCGUUAAUCGGAAUUACUGGGCGUAAAGAGCUCGUAGGCGGUCUGUCGCGUCGGCUGUGAAAACCCGAGGCUCAACCUCGGGCCUGCAGUCGAUACGGGCAAACUAGAGUACUGCAGGGGAGACUGGAAUUCCUGGUGUAGCGGUGAAAUGCGCAGAUAUCAGGAGGAACACCGGUGGCGAAGGCGGGUCUCUGGGCAGUAACUGACGCUGAGGAGCGAAAGCGUGGGGAGCGAACAGG